rnacentral:rRNA from 1 species
CAGCCGCCGCGGUAAUACGGAGGGUGCAAGCGUUAAUCGGAAUUACUGGGCGUAAAGCGUACGUAGGCGGCUUGGUAAGUUAGAGGUGAAAGCCCGGAGCUCAACUCCGGAACUGCCUUUGAUACUGUCGAUCUGGAGUAUGGAAGAGGUGAGUGGAAUUCCGAGUGUAGAGGUGAAAUUCGUAGAUAUUCGGAGGAACACCAGUGGCGAAGGCGACUGACUGGACAAGUAUUGACGCUGAGGUGCGAAAGCGUGGGGAGCAAACAGGAUUAGAUACCCCCGUAGUCCCUGUCUCUUAUAC